rnacentral:snRNA from 1 species
GAGAUCCCUUUGGCAGCACAUACACCAAAAUUGGCAUGAUACAGAGAUUAGCAUGGCCCCUGUGCAAAAGCUACUCACAAAUCAGUAGCUUUU